GAUGAACGCUAGCGGCAGGCCUAACACAUGCAAGUCGAGGGAGAAGCCCUUCGGGGCAGAAACCGGCGCACGGGUGCGUAACGCGUAUGCAACCUACCUUUCACAGGGGGAUAGCCCGAAGAAAUUUGGAUUAAUACCCCAUAAUAUUAUUGGGUGGCAUCAUUUGAUAAUUAAAAUUACGAUGGUGAAAGAUGGGCAUGCGUCCUAUUAGCUAGUUGGAGUGGUAACGGCACCCCAAGGCUACGAUAGGUAGGGGUCCUGAGAGGGAGACCCCCCACACUGGUACUGAGACAGGGGCCAGACUCCUACGGGAGGCAGCAGUGAGGAAUAUUGGUCAAUGGUCGGAAGACUGAACCAGCCAUGCCGCGUGCAGGAAGAAUGCCUUAUGGGUUGUAAACUGCUUUUAUAUGGGAAGAAUAAGGAGUACGUGUACUUUGAUGACCGGUAUCAUAUGAAUAAAGCAUCGGCA
rnacentral:rRNA from 1 species